UACGAAGGGGGCUAGCGUUGCUCGGAAUUACUGGGCGUAAAGGGCGCGUAGGCGGACAGUUUAGUCAGAGGUGAAAGCCCAGGGCUCAACCUUGGAAUAGCCUUUGAUACUGACUGUCUUGAGUUCGGGAGAGGUGAGUGGAAUGCCGAGUGUAGAGGUGAAAUUCGUAGAUAUUCGGCGGAACACCAGUGGCGAAGGCGACUCACUGGCCCGAUACUGACGCUGAGGCGCGAAAGCUAGGGGAGCAAACAGG
rnacentral:rRNA from 1 species